rnacentral:rRNA from 1 species
GGUGAGUAACACGUGGAUAACCUACCUAUAAGACUGGGAUAACUUCGGGAAACCGGAGCUAAUACCGGAUAAUAUAUUGAACCGCAUGGUUCAAUAGUGAAAGACGGUUUUGCUGUCACUUAUAGAUGGAUCCGCGUCGCAUUAGCUAGUUGGUAAGGUAACGGCUUACCAAGGCAACGAUGCGUAGCCGACCUGAGAGGGUGAUCGGCCACACUGGAACUGAGACACGGUCCAG